GACCUCGGAUCAGGUAGGAAUACCCGCUGAACUUACAACAGGGAUUGCCCCAGUAACGGCGAGUGAAGCGGCAACAGCUCAAAUUUGAAAUCUGGCCCCUCAAGGUCCGAGUUGUAAUUUGUAGAGGAUGCUUUUGGUGAGGUGCCGCCCGAGUUCCCUGGAACGGGACGCCACAGAGGGUGAGAGCCCCGUCUGGCUGGCCACCGAGCCUCUGUAAAGCUCCUUCGACGAGUCGAGUAGUUUGGGAAUGCUGCUCAAAAUGGGAGGUAUAUGUCUUCUAAAGCUAAAUAUUGGCCAGAGACCGAUAGCGCACAAGUAGAGUGAUCGAAAGAUGAAAAGCACCUUGAAAAGAGGGUUAAAUAGUACGUGAAAUUGUUGAAAGGGAAGCGCUUGUGACCAGACUUGGGCGCGGCGGAUCAUCCGGGGUUCUCCCCGGUGCACUUCGCCGUGUUCAGGCCAGCAUCAGUUCGUCGCGGGGGAAAAAGGCUUCGGGAACGUGGCUCCUCCGGGAGUGUUAUAGCCCGUUGCAUAAUACCCUGCGGUGGACUGAGGACCGCGCAUCUGCAAGGAUGCUGGCGUAAUGGUCACCAGCGA
rnacentral:rRNA from 1 species